rnacentral:rRNA from 1 species
GUCGAGAAUCUUCCGCAAUGGGCGCAAGCCUGACGGAGCGACGCCGCGUGGAGGACGAAGGCCUUCGGGUUGUAAACUCCUGUCACGGGUUAUGAAUGGCGCAGUAUGAACAAUGCUGCGAUUGACGUAAGCCCGAGAGGAAGCACUGGCUAACUCUGUGCCAGCAGCCGCGGUAAUACAGAGAGUGCAAACGUUGUUCGGAAUUACUGGGCAUAAAGCGCACGUAGGCGGCGCCACAAGUGCGGAGUGAAAUCCCACGGCUUACCCGUGGAACUGCUUGGUAGACUGUGGUGCUAGAGGAUGGUAGGGGAGAGCGGAACUCCUGGUGGAGCGGUGAAAUGCGUAGAGAUCAGGAGGAACACCGGUGGCGAAGGCGGCUCUCUGGUCCAUGACUGACGCUGAGGUGCGAAAGCUAGGGGAGCAAACGGGAUUAGAUACCCUUGUAGUCC